AAUAGAUACCCCAGGUAGUCCACGCCGUAAACGAUGAGUGCUAAGUGUUAGGGGGGUUUCCGCCCCUUAGUGCUGCAGCUAACGCAUUAAGCACUCCGCCUGGGGAGUACGGUCGCAAGACUGAAACUCAAAGGAAUUGACGGGGGCCCGCACAAGCGGCGGAGCAUGUUGCUUAAUUCGAGGCAACGCGAAGAACCUUACCUAGGUUGAACUAUGCAGGAAAAGCCACAGAGAUGUGGUGUCCUUGGGGCCUGCGAUAGGUGGUGCAUGGCUGUCGUCAGCUCGUGUCGCGAGAUGUUGGGUUAAGUCCCGCAACGAGCGCAACCCUUAUCGCUAGUUGCCAGCAUUCAGUUGGGCACUCUAGCGAGACAGCCGGUGAAAGCCGGAGGAAGGUGGGGAUGACGUCAAAUCAUCAUGCCCCUUAUGUCCUGGGCUACACACGUGCUACAAGUGCCGGUACAAGUGGUCGCAACCGCGAGGGGAUACUAAUCCCACAAAACCGGUCUCAGUUCGGACUGCCAGGCUGACC
rnacentral:rRNA from 1 species